rnacentral:rRNA from 1 species
AGCAGCCGCGGUAAUUCCAGCUCCAAUAGCGUAUAUUAAAGUUGUUGCAGUUAAAAAGCUCGUAGUUGAAUUUCGGGGUUAGUAGGUUGGUCAUGCCUCUGGUAUGUACUGGUCUCACUGAUUCCUCCUUCCUGAUGAACUGUAAUGCCAUUAAUUUGGUGUUGCGGGGAAUUUGGACUGUUACUUUGAAAAAUUAGAGUGUUUAAAGCAAGCUAACGCUUGAAUACAUUAGCAUGGAAUAAUGAAAUAGGACGUUCGAUCCUAUUUGUUGGUUUCUAGGAUUGACGUAAUGAUUAAUAGGGAUAGUUGGGGCAUUAGUAUUCAAUUGUCAGAGGUGAAAUUCUUGGAUUUAUUGAAGACUAACUACUGCGAAAGCAUUUGCCAAGGAUGUUUUCAUUAAUCAAGAACGAAGUUAGGGAUCGAAGACGAUCAGAUACCGUCGUAGUCUUAACCAUAAACUAU